rnacentral:rRNA from 1 species
UACGUAGGGUGCAAGCGUUGUCCGGAAUUAUUGGGCGUAAAGAGCUCGUAGGCGGUUUGAUCGCGUCUGCUGUGAAAACCCGAGGCUCAACCUCGGGUCUGCAGUCGAUACGAGCAAACUAGAGUGUUGCAGGGGAGACUGGAAAUUCCUGGUGUAGCGGUGAAAUGCGCAGAUAUCAGGAGGAACACCGGUGGCGAAGGCGGGUCUCUGGGCAACAACUGACGCUGAGGAGCGAAAGCGUGGGGAGCGAACAGGA